ACGACUCUCCACUCCUGGGACUUCAGACUUGCUGUAUCCUCCGAGCCAUCGGUGCCUCCAUAUAUGCCCAAACCCAUACAAUAGCCAUGUCGUGCAGUUUGCAUACAGACAAUGCGCCUCCCGCUGUGCGCUCCACCAGCACCACCCGGGGCCACAAAAUGGAUCAAAACGGUAGAAACCUCAAGCAGAACCUAGACUCAGGGUGCCAUGUUCCCGAUGAGGAUCCAGAGCGUUGGUCCAAACUGAAAUAUCUCCAAAACGUUUGGAUUGCAGUCCCCACAGGCUUUCAUCAGUGUGCAUUUCCCCCACUGUGGGAUCUGGUAAAAGGUAAAUGUUCAGGAAAGACAACAGGAAGAUUUAUAAUUUAAAUCCUGGAUCCGCCCCGGAAUGCUGGUUGCCAAGUGCCAGGUCUGAUGAGACCUCAGAAAC